GCUAGGACGAACGCUGGCGGCGUGCCUAACACAUGCAAGUCGAGCGAGGAGAUUCCUUCGGGAUGAUCCUAGCGGCGGACGGGUGAGUAACACGUGGGCAACCUGCCUCAUAGAGAGGAAUAGCCUUCCGAAAGGGAGAUUAAUACCUCAUAACAUUGCAGUUUCGUAUGGAACAGCAAUUAAAGGAGCAAUCCGCUAUGAGAUGGGCCCGCGGCGCAUUAGCUAGUUGGUGAGGUAACGGCUCACCAAGGCGACGAUGCGUAGCCGACCUGAGAGGGUGAUCGGCCACAUUGGGACUGAGACACGGCCCAGACUCCUACGGGAGGCAGCAGUGGGGAAUAUUGCACAAUGGGGGAAACCCUGAUGCAGCAACGCCGCGUGAGUGAUGACGGCCUUCGGGUUGUAAAGCUCUGUCUUCAGGGACGAUAAUGACGGUACCUGAGGAGGAAGCCACGGCUAACUACGUGCCAGCCGCGGC
rnacentral:rRNA from 1 species